UACGUAGGGUGCAAGCGUUAAUCGGAAUUACUGGGCGUAAAGCGUGCGCAGGCGGUUUUGUAAGUCUGUCGUGAAAGCCCCGGGCUCAACCUGGGAAUUGCGAUGGAGACUGCAAGGCUUGAAUCUGGCAGAGGGGGGUAGAAUUCCACGUGUAGCAGUGAAAUGCGUAGAGAUGUGGAGGAACGCCGAUGGCGAAGGCAGCCCCCUGGGUCAAGAUUGACGCUCAUGCACGAAAGCGUGGGGAGCAAACAGG
rnacentral:rRNA from 1 species